rnacentral:rRNA from 1 species
GAUGAACGCUGGCGGCGUGCCUAAUACAUGCAAGUCGAGCGAACGGACGAGAAGCUUGCUUCUCUGAUGUUAGCGGCGGACGGGUGAGUAACACGUGGAUAACCUACCUAUAAGACUGGGAUAACUUCGGGAAACCGGAGCUAAUACCGGAUAAUAUUUUGAACCGCAUGGUUCAAAAGUGAAAGACGGUCUUGCUGUCACUUAUAGAUGGAUCCGCGCUGCAUUAGCUAGUUGGUAAGGUAACGGCUUACCAAGGCAACGAUGCAUAGACGACCUGAGAGGGUGAUCGGCCACACUGGAACUGAGACACGGUCCUGACUCCUACGGGAGGCAGCAGUAGGGAAUCUUCCGCAAUGGGCGAAAGCCUGACGGAGCAACGCCGCGUGAGUGAUGAAGGUCUUCGGAUCGUAAAACUCUGUUAUUAGGGAAGAACAUAUGUGUAAGUAACUGUGCACAUCUUGACGGUACCUAAUCAGAAAGCCACGGCUAACUACGUG